rnacentral:rRNA from 1 species
AGAUUGAACGCUGGCGGCAGGCCUAACACAUGCAAGUCGAGCGGUAGAGAGGUGCUUGCAUCUCUUGAGAGCGGCGGACGGGUGAGUAAUGCCUAGGAAUCUGCCUAGUGGUGGGGGAUAACGUUCGGAAACGGACGCUAAUACCGCAUACGUCCUACGGGAGAAAGCGGGGGACCUUCGGGCCUCGCGCCAUUAGAUGAGCCUAGGUCGGAUUAGCUAGUUGGUGAGGUAAUGGCUCACCAAGGCGACGAUCCGUAAACUGGUCUGAGAGGAUGAUCAGUCACACUGGAACUGAGACACGGUCCAGACUCCUACGGGAGGCAGCA